rnacentral:rRNA from 1 species
CGGCGGACGGGUGAGUAAUGUAUGGGGAUCUGCCUGAUGGCGGGGGAUAACUACUGGAAACGGUAGCUAAUACCGCAUAACGUCGCAAGACCAAAGAGGGGGACCUUCGGGCCUCUUGCCAUCGGAUGAACCCAUAUGGGAUUAGCUUGUAGGUAAGGUAACGGCUUACCUAGGCGACGAUCCCUAGCUGGUCUGAGAGGAUGAUCAGCCACACUGGGACUGAGACACGGCCCAG